CUACUGAAAAGUGCCAAGGAGCAUUAAAACAAAGCAGAGUAUCAAAUAUUUUGCAACUGUAUCAAGCAUCUCAUUACCACUAACCGCAUCCCAAUUCAUAUUUAGACGCAACAAAUGAUAUGUAUCCUCCACAAACUAGAGAAAAGUCGGAAGUUAGACAGAAGUACAAAGA